AGAAAGGUUCUGAAUUGAACAAGAAGAGAUGGAUUCUGGACCAGGACAGGAAGAGAGAUGCUUGGACACUGGGAAGAAUCUUUCUGUGCUCUGACUGGACAAUAAACAAAUAUCUUGUAGCUGGACGUGAGGUUUAUAGUGCUGGCACUGUUUAAGAAUGUCUGCUACCCUGGAAACAUAAUGGAAAUGGUUAUUUUAAGAUACGAGUCUCCUGAUCAGGGAUGGUGUGCCAGUCAUUGUGCUCCAACUCCAUGCAAUGAAAGGCACCACUAAUAAACUGGCAGCCCUCUUUUCUUCAGAUCUUGCAUAUGACUUUAUAAUCCUUCUCAACAAUUCACUCCAGAAAACCACUAUUAAGUGAUCAGAGUUGGUGGUUGAGAUGAAAACUAUUUCUCAUCUCUUCCACAUGUGAAUAC
rnacentral:lncRNA from 1 species